CGUUUCAAGAUACGGUAAAUUAUUGUUCAUCAAAGUGAAAGUGUAAUAAUAAUAUUAUAAACUACAAGUUGUGACAAAUAUUGUUUCUGGAGUACAAAAAUUAUGUUCGGAGUAAACGACAAUUGGAUUGCCGAAUAGAGACGCUGGUGGAAGUCAAAAAAAAAAAAAAAAAUGAAAAAAUAAAAAACAAGCAAAACGACGACAUCAUCGCACGGGUAAAAUUGCAGACUCAACGAGUUUUCAAGAUAAAUGUAUUUCAUACGUCUACAGCUGCAUUACACGGAAGGAUAUGCAAACACGAGGGCGCAAUUCUUGAAGACACUUGAGAGCGAACGAGAGCGAAGAGCGCUAAACGGAAGCAGACUGACGGCUCUUUUCCCAGUUUGUGACAAAUUUUGGAGAUAAAAAAAAAAAGAGGUAUUUUCGCAACUCGCACACAUAUUUUAUUCUAAAUUUAAGAA